ensembl:lncRNA
UUGGAUCCUAAAUCGAGCAAAUUGUUUUUUAAAUAAGACAAUCCAAAAUAUCCAGAAUUGACUGGGUAAAGUGCACAAGAUAAGGUUGUAUUUUUAUCUUUGACAGAAGUACUAUGAUUGCAGUCUCCCUAGAGAGACACACUGAAAUCUUUAUGGAUAAAAAUCACAUGAGGUCUGAGAUUUCCUUCAAAAUUAUAGGGCAAGAGCAUAGUUAGGGAUAAAAAGGAAACCACAUAAGUUGAGAAUUGCUGAAGCAAGAUGAGGCAUCAUGAGAAUUUAUACUCUGCAUAUCUCUUUGAAGAGAUGUUUGAAAUUUUUCAUUAAAAGUGCAAAAGUUAUAAAGAAUGAAAUUCCAGGAUUGUAUCCAAGUCCUUAAUCUCUUAACCCCCUCUGAACCCCCAGGCUUCACUUUUCAUAAUAAAGGCAGAAUGUUCAUCAAAUACGGAUGGUCUACUCUCUACCCUCUCAGAGACACACAAACCUGCCUCAACGACUCGACAUCCGUGUCCUAUGUUACCGUUUGGCAACAGGAUCAGAAAAAUCUGGAUUCUGGUUUAAUCCACACAGCCUUUUCCUCUCUUUUUCUUCCCGUUUGCCUUUCCUUUCCCUCUCCAUCAGUGGCUUCCUUCGCCUGCCCUCUUUCCCAGACACACGGACAUGGGUUCCCCCUGGAGCUAAGCCAGUGAGAAACCAGGUGUUUCCAGGUCCCCCAGGGAAGCUUCUCCACGCAGCCCGACCCUGAGACCUUCCAGCAAGGUGGUUUAGUCACUAAGCCAUGUCCGACUGUUGUGACUCCAUGGAAUGUAGCCUGCCAGGCUUCUCUGUCCAUGGGAUUCUCCAGGCAAGAAUACGGGAGUGGGUUGCCAUUUCCUUCUCCAGGGAAUCUUCCCAACCCAGGGAUCAAACACUGGUCUCCUGCAUUGGCAGGCAGAUUCUUUACCAACUGAGCUACAAGGGAAGCUUCCAGCAAGGACCAGAUAGUAAACCACCUCCCUGCCUCUUAAGACGCUCAUGUCCAUACAAAAACUUGCACAUGGGUGCUUUUUCACAGUGACUUUAUUCAUAAUUGCCAAAGCUUGAAAACAACCAAAGUGUCCUUCAGUAGGUGAUGGAUAAAUGAACUACAGGGCAUCCAGAUGGGAAUAUUAUUACAUGCUAAAAUAAGCGAGCUGUCAAGUCAUGAAGACAUGGAGGAAACAAAGGCUACACGCUAUAUGAUUGCAACUAGUUUGAUGUCACGGAAAAGGCAAGAUAUGCCAAGGAUAAAAAGGUCUGAUUUUGAGGGAUUGUGGCGAGGGAGGGAUGAACAGGUGGAGAACAGAGAGUUUUUAGGGCAGUGAAACUUCUCUGUAUGAUACUGUAUUGAUGUAUAAUAUACGUGUCAUUAUUUGUUUGGCCAAACCCACAGGACACACACCACCUACAGUGACCCCUGAUGUCAACUGUGGACUCUGGGUCAUAAUGACAUGUCCAUGUGGGGUCAUCAGUUGUAACACAAGUACCAACCGGUGGAGAUGAUGACGGGGAAGCCACGGGUGUGAGGGAGGAGGAAUAUUGAAAUGUCACACUUUCCACCUAGUUUAGCUGUGAACCUAAAGCUGCUCUUAGAAGUCUAUCUUUUAAGAGAAAGGAAAAACAUUACCCAGACCCAGGAGCACACAUCCUUCAAGGACGGUCUGCAGAGAUCAGAACACAAGAGUGUGCAUGCUCUACAAACAUGGCCAGCAGUUACCCAACACAGUGACCCAGAGACCAGGCCUCAGGCUUUCAUCCCAGCCCCAACCUACCCAGGGCAGCCACUCCUGAAGGGCCAGCAUCUACGACAGGCAUGCGUCCUGGGCCUGCCCCACAGUCUGGGUGGGAGGGGCCCCAAACUGCCUUCUGUCCAACCCCAUGGACUCGGGGCUGGAGAAGCCUGUGUUUCAGCUGAGCUAGGGUGGACCAGCCCCAGGCAGAGACCGCUGCCUCUCUCCCAUCUCCUCUGCGCUCGAGGAUGGAGGACCGUGGGGGGCUCCCACUCUGGCCCCUCCCCAGCGGGGCUCUAUGAUGGGAUCCGGAAGCAGCAGGCUUCCUCCCAUGGUUGGAGUAGCUCUCUCCCCUCUGGCUUCUCCGGCUACAGCUGUGGGUUGAACGUGACUGGAGAAGCUGGAAACUGCCCCAGGGCUGGAAAAGAGGCUGUUAUCUGCCAGCAUGCAGCUUUGCCAACAUGAGCUCGUCUUCCCGCCAGGCUCCAUCUCCAGCACCAGCCCACAGAGCCAGACACCAGCAUUGUCCGGGGAGCAAUAAUGGCUGUGUUUCCAGCAUCCCUGCCCACUGGCCCUGACAGAUACCGCAGUGGUUCCUGCCAGGAAAUUCCCUGCCACGUGAAAACCCAGAGGAGGAAGCGGAGCCCCAUGGACCUCUCAGGCUCCACCCAGAGUUGCAGGAGUAAAACAAGCCCAUCAUCUCGGGCCCGGGCAUCCACAGGGACCUGGGAGCCUGUGACAAGACACACACCCCCCCCGGCCUCAGGCGGCCGCCUCUGUGCUUACUCUACCAUGUCUGAGGUGGUUUGGGCCCUGUGUACCACUUGAUAGAGCCCUCAGGGGAAAAGUAUUGCCACCUCCAUUUUGCAAACAAGAAAACCAGGGCCAAGAUCUAACUCGAGGUCAGCACCAAGGUCAGCUUCACUCCUUCCGAGGCCACUGGCAAAGUGAGCCUGGGCAUCUGAGGGGAGAUCCUGGUACCCCCAGCCCACCCUCCCAUCCACGGUCUUCCCUGGGC